CUCUCAAAUCCUAGGUGUGUCCCUGCCCAGUAACUGCUAUCUCUUGCAUACAGUGGGAUUACAUGUGAUAAAUGUGUCCAUUCUGCUAGGAUCGGCUAAUGAGACAAAGACAACUUUCCACAUUAAUGAUUUUUUAUUAGUGUUCUCAGUAUUCCAGAAUCCAAAUACCAUGGAACUUUAAAAUAACCUGAAAACAGAGAGGUUUGAAUAACUCUUGCUCAAAUAAUCAUCAUAACAGCGAGAAACUUGGACACAGGAGACAAACAUCACCAGCUUCAUGAUACCUUCAUCAUGCAGUCUUCUGUCAGUUGGAGGAAGAAGAGAGAAACAUGGUUGUUCAGAAAUCUAAUAAUCUCUUUGGAAAAUCCUCAAACACAGCAUUACUAUUCCACACACACUUGUGUGGACAAGCUCAUUGCUCUAUCAAGCUUCCCGGGAAAGAAGGAAGAUGUUGAAUCAAGCUGCAUUCUUUAUAAGCUAUGUACUUGCUCAGAGGUGGACAGACUUUCCCUACUGUAUCCUCCCUUCCUUAGGGUUCUCUUCCCAAGGAAGUCUAAACUAAUCAAGACUCAUGAGGGAUGAAGAAAUGUCAUUGAAUCAUACAAAGCUGGUUUUGUGUCCCAGGG
ensembl:lncRNA